AAUUCUGGGUAAUCGCGGUUUUUAAAUAAACUGAGGAAAGUCCAUGCUCACACAAGCUGUGAUGCUUGUAGUGUUCGUGCUUAGCGAAACAAUAAGCUAAGGCAAUUUUUAAUUGACGGCAGACAAAAAGGCUAAGGAUUUUAUCUAUGCCUGAGUAAUCUUGAAAGUGCCACAGUGACGAAGUAUUGAAGGAAACUUUAAUAGUGGAACGGGUAAACCCCUCGAGUGAGCAACCCAAACAUUGGUAGGGGCACUCUCUUUAGUAGGAAUCGAACGAAAAAGAGAGGCAGUAAUGCAGAUAGAUGAUUACCUCAGCAAAAAAGACCUGACUUUUUUGCGAGACAAAACAUGGCUUACAGGA
rfam:Jeotgalibaca sp. PTS2502, complete genome.